AAGUCGUAACAAGGUUUCCGUAGGUGAACCUGCGGAAGGAUCAUUACCAAUUUUUAAAAUCUUCCAACCCAUGUGCACUAUGAUGAUUGUCUUGGUUUUUGGGGUGAGCUGUUAGUACGGUCGUCACCCCAACCAAUUUUCUAAACUGCUUUUAUUAUUGUCUUGGCAUCAAAAUUGUCUUAAUAAAUUAUUAUGACAACUUUUAACGGUGGAUCUCUUGGCUCGUGG
rnacentral:misc_RNA from 1 species